rnacentral:rRNA from 1 species
UGGGGAAUCUUGCGCAAUGGGCGAAAGCCUGACGCAGCCAUGCCGCGUGAGUGAUGAAGGCCUUAGGGUUGUAAAACUCUUUCACCGGGGACGAUAAUGACGGUACCCGGAGAAGAAGCCCCGGCUAACUUCGUGCCAGCAGCCGCGGUAAUACGAAGGGGGCUAGCGUUGCUCGGAAUUACUGGGGCGUAAAGGGCGCGUAGGCGGAUCAGCAAGUUGGGGGUGAAAGCCCGGGGCUCAACCUCGGAAUUGCCUUCAAAACUGCUGAUCUAGAGUACGGGAGAGGUGUGUGGAACUCCGAGUGUAGAGGUGAAAUUCGUAGAUAUUCGGAAGAACACCAGUGGCGAAGGCGACACACUGGCCCGUUACUGACGCUGAGGCGCGAAAAGCGUGGGGGAGCAAAACAGGAUUAGAUACCCUGGUAGUCCACGCUGUAAACGAUGAUUGCUGAGUUGUCGGCAGGCAUGCCUGUCGGUGACNCAGCUAACGCAUUAAGCAAUCCGCCUGGGGAGUACGGUCGCAAGAUUAAAAACUCAAAUGAA